UGGCAAAAGUUGCCGAUAUGGCUAUAUUUUGUCCUGUUGUGCGACCUAAAACAUCAAUUAAUAGUCUAGCUAUUUUUUUUUUUUGAACGACAUGAAAAUUUUGAGACGCCUGAAAACAUGGGCUUCUUUUUAUGAAUUUCGGAAAAAAAACUCUUGUUUUAUGACGAAAUAAGCUUCCAAAUGGAAGUGAAGUUUAAAAAAAAGUUUGCUUGGCUACUUUUCUACUCAUUUUUAGUUAAACUGUGCGUUGUCGCGCUCCUAAAAAUAAAGCAACCCUAAGUCAGCUCGAUUUGUUGAUAAUUUGUUUUGUUGUUGUAUGCGUUGAAUUUGCUAAUGUUUUAUUUUUUGUGAAGCCAGUGUUUUCAUAGUGAAAUUGAAAUAAUAAUAGAAACAUCUCUAAAUGCCUGUGAUUUGAUUUAAUUUUGUUUCGUAAUGAAUUCAGAUCUUAGCACUGAAGAGGAAGAUGUUAGCAUCGAAGAUAAAUUGAGUGAAGAAAGUGCCGAAAGUGGAUCUUAUGUUAUUCGGCCACCAUUUCGUAAACGGUAGGAAUUGACUUUGAAAAUACAAUUGAUGAUGCACUUCUAGUUGACAAAAAAGUUUAGCAACACCUUUUAAUUUUGCACUACCAAAAUUUAAUGCGUCUGCUGUGAAAGAAAUCAUUAAGCUAUUGCUUGUGGAUGAAUUGGGUCAGAAAAAGUAUUCCUCAUUAGAUGCCAUGGAGACAGCCAAGAAUUUGUCUAAAAUGAUAGUGGAUAAGUUGAAAGAAAUGCCGUAUGAAGGAUAUAAGUAUAGCGUUCAAGUGGUUUUUGCGGAACAAAAGGGACAAGGUUUAAAAAUGUCCUCUUUAUGUAUGUGGGACGCUGAUACUGACAAUUGUGCUUCUGUGUUCUAUAUGACUGAGCAUCUAAUAUGUGCAACAACAAUUUUUGCUGUGUACUUCUAUUGAGAAAAAUAUCUUGUACACCGAAAUAAAGAAUGCUGCUACUACAAGAAGAAACCCCAAGUAUCGUUGGAAGUUUGCAAAAGAUUAGUGUGCGGCUCAUUGCCAAGAUAUUUAAUUGCUGUUUCGAAAUGUAAACUACUUUGUUUAAUCCUAUAUAUUCUUCCCUAAACUAGUAAGGCAGUGUCUUACACCCCGAGUUGAACUUCUGCAUUGAAACGUUUUGUAACAUUUACAUAUCGUCGCCUCAGAGCAACAUUAAGACAUCUAAUCCCAGGAAUAACACUAAGCUAUCUUACAUUUGCUCUGAGGCGACGAUAUAUAGCUUUAUAUUUAUGUCACAAAAGGUACUGUUUCUGUUAUAUUUAUAUGAAUAAAUAAAACUAAAAUCUUUGGAAUUUUUUCUACUCUAAUUUGAUAAAUGCUUGUAUUAUUACGUGUUUGUACUCCAAAUUAAACUGAUUUAAUAAUACUGCGGACAGUGCCUUUGGCGCUUUUUAGUGUUGAAUUCUUACUACUAAGUCAUGUUGAACUAUAAUCGAGAAUUUCUUAA